AGGACGAACGCUGGCGGCGUGCCUAACACAUGCAAGUCGAACGAAGCUCUGCGAUACAAGACUUCGGUCAAGUUGAACGGAUGACUUAGUGGCGGACGGGUGAGUAACGCGUGAGGAACCUGCCUUUCAGUGGGGGGACAACAGUUGGAAACGACUGCUAAUACCGCAUAAUGUAUUCUGACCACAUGAUCGGAAUACCAAAGAUUUAUUGCUGAAAGAUGGCCUCGCGUCUGAUUAGAUAGUUGGGUGAGGUAACGGCUCACCAAGUCGACGAUCAGUAGCCGGACUGAGAGGUUGAACGGCCACAUUGGGACUGAGAUACGGCCCAGACUCCUACGGGGAGGCAGCAGUGGGGAAUAUUGGGCAAUGGGGGAAACCCUGACCCAGCAACGCCGCGUGAAGGAAGAAGGCUUUCGGGUUGUAAACUUCUUUUACCAGGGACGAAGGACGUGACGGUACCUGGAGAAAAAGCCACGGCUAACUACGUG
rnacentral:rRNA from 1 species